rnacentral:rRNA from 1 species
CAGUCGCCACGGUAAUACAGAGGGUGCGAGCGUUAAUCGGAUUUACUGGGCGUAAAGCGUGCGUAGGCGGCUUCUUAAGUCGGAUGUGAAAUCCCUGAGCUUAACUUAGGAAUUGCAUUCGAUACUGGGAAGCUAGAGUAUGGGAGAGGAUGGUAGAAUUCCAGGUGUAGCGGUGAAAUGCGUAGAGAUCUGUAGGAAUACCGAUGGCGAAGGCAGCCAUCUGGCCUAAUACUGACGCUGAGGUACGAAAGCAUGGGGAGCAAACAGGAUUAGAUACCCCAGUAGUCCCUGUCUCUUAUAC